UAGGGAAUCUUCGGCAAUGGACGGAAGUCUGACCGAGCAACGCCGCGUGAGUGAAGAAGGUUUUCGGAUCGUAAAGCUCUGUUGUAAGAGAAGAACGGGUGUGAGAGUGGAAAGUUCACACUGUGACGGUAUCUUACCAGAAAGGGACGGCUAACUACGUGCCAGCAGCCGCGGUAAUACGUAGGUCCCGAGCGUUGUCCGGAUUUAUUGGGCGUAAAGCGAGCGCAGGCGGUUAGAUAAGUCUGAAGUUAAAGGCUGUGGCUUAACCAUAGUACGCUUUGGAAACUGUUUAACUUGAGUGCAAGAGGGGAGAGUGGAAUUCCAUGUGUAGCGGUGAAAUGCGUAGAUAUAUGGAGGAACACCGGUGGCGAAAGCGGCUCUCUGGCUUGUAACCGACGCUGAGGCUCGAAAGCGUGGGGAGCAAACAGGAUUAGAUACCCUGGUAGUCCACGCCGUAAACGAUGAGUGCUAGGUGUUAGACCCUUUCCGGGGUUUAGUGCCGCAGCUAACGCAUUAAGCACUCCGCCUGGGGAGUACGACCGCAAGGUUG
rnacentral:rRNA from 1 species